rnacentral:lncRNA from 1 species
AUAUUUCAAAAGAUCCAAUAGGGUCUGUUUCUGAAAACUCAGACCCCAUAUCAUAAAACCAGCUUAAAGAAGGGAAUCAGCUUAGAGAAGGGGAAGAAUUUUAAGGGUUUGAAAUAAUAACCUGCAUUGGGUUGCACUAGUUUACCUGAAAGUUUAAUAUCUUUAUUAAAAUGAAUGUAUGGUUUUAGGAAUUACAACUACUGAUUGGGGCAGUCCAUCCUUGCUCUCACUUGCACAUAGUUGGACCAACUACGUCAUAAAACUCCGUGUCAAUGGGGCAAGACUCUCAGUUGACACUGGGGUCUUCAUUGAGACUUUCCCAGACUAAAUGAUCCAAAUUCACUAAUGUCCAGUCUGAGGAGAGCCAGGAAGUACAGAGGUACUUUUCUGAAGUGGAGAGCUGUCUUUGACUUGACAAGUCUCCACAAGGUAUAACAAGGCAAGCAUCAAAUGUAAUAGUUUGAGGCAAAAUAGGUUCCAUUGCCUGAGUCAAUAUUUUCUAUUAGCCUAAACCUGGGCACUAUAUUUUCAAUUAAGGCCUCAACUACAUUAUUGGCCAUCACAUUUGAAAAGGGAAUAGCUUUGACCCAGUGAGUAAGGUGAUCUACUAUCACUACUAUCACUAGUAAAUAUUUUAGAUGACGUAUUGGAGGCAUCUCUGUGUAAUCAAUCUGGAUACUUUGAAAUGGCCUUAAGUCCGGACUCCUUCUCCCAAGGGGUAAUCUUUUUAUAGUUUGUUUAUUAGUUUUCUUACAUACUAAGGGACUGUCUGUAACCUAUUUGGCAAGAGUAUAUAUUCCUAUACACCCAAAAACUUUCAGAACUGUGUCACACAUGGCUUGGGGCCCCCAGUGGGUCCCUUGAUGCAGUUGGGACAAGUUUUCCCUCAUAAGGGGUUUGAACAACAUUUCCCUCUGGUCUGGCAAUAUCCAUUUUUCUUCUGAAUUCUCUUAGCACCUAUUUUUAUUAGUUUCUCUUUUCAGUGGAAGAGAAAAUGGAAUGGAGAUGAUGGUAGGAGGAGGAAGGUAAAGAAUUCAGUGAAAAAUAGAUGUUUUAAAAGAAAUGGCAGCCUGUUUACCUAUGUAAUCUGCUAGGUUAUUUCCUAGACUGUCAAAAGAAAGACUUUUCUGGUGUCUGGGGACAUGGACAAUCACUAUUUCUUCUGGCAACUGAAGGUUAUUCAAUACUUGGGUGAUUAGCUCCUUAUGAACAAUAUCUUGAUGUUUGCUAUUAAUGAGACCUCGUCCAGUCAAAAUUUUUCCAAGUAUAUGAGCCCCUCCAAAGGCGUACUUAGAAUUGGUAUAGAUGGCUCCUUCCUGGUUCUGCAAGUACUUUAAGGCUCAGCUGAGUGCAAACAGCUCACAGGUUUGGGCAGACCAAUUCUUAGGCAAUUUUCCUGCCUCUAUUUCUUCAAGAGUUUCUCCAUCAAUUACUGAAUACCCAUUGCAUCUUUUUGCCUCAAUCACCUAGGGGGAACCAUGUAUAAAUAAGUGUCGUCCCAUCCUGAAGGGAGUUUCUCCUAGGUCUGGUCAGACCUUUGUAUGGUAAUCAGUUAAAUCUAAACAUGUGUGCUAUCUCUUUAGAUUUGGAUCCCCUAUUAGGAAAACUGCUGGGUUAAGGGAAUUAUCAGUGGUUAAUGUUAAACCAUCUUUUUCUAACAGAAUAGUUUCAUACUUUAAGAUUCUUGAGUCAGUAAGCCACCUCCCUGCUUUCUGGUUUAAGAUACUUCUAACUUGGUGGGGCGUUCUUACUGUCAAUUUUCCUCCAAAGGUUAACUUCCUGCUUUAUUUGACCAUUAGUGCUGUAGCCACAAUGGGAUUGGAUGCAUUGAGGCCACCCACAAGUAACUGGAUCUAAGACUUUUGACAGGAAGUCCACCAUGGGCUGCUGAUGGCCUCUGUGUUCUUAAGUGAGCACUCCUAAAGCUACCCCAUUAUCCACGUUGACAAAAAGGUGGAAUGGCUUUUCUAGGGAAGGUAAGUCUAAGACAGCGGUGGUUAUAAGCCUUUUUUUCAGCUCUUCAACCUGAUCAACUUCCUCAGAAGUCCACAGGAAAUGGUCAGUCUUCACCUGAGCAAGUUUUGGAUAUAGAAGUUUACUGUUUAGUGCAUGUGAGUUAAUCCAUAAGGAGCAGUAUCCAACUAACCCAAAAGUUUCCUGAGUUCUUGUUUAAGUUUGAGGCAAGGGUAGGGACAUGAUUCCCUCAACUCGUUCAGGCCCUAUUCUUCACUUCUCUGCACUUAUCAAGUGGUCUAAAUAUUUAAUUUCAGGUUCUACAUACUGAAGCUUUCCCUUUGAGACUCACAACCCCUCGAACUGCAGAUGGUUGAGAAUAUGUGUAGAGAAGCCAGCUCUACGUUAUCUAUAUCUUCACCAGAUCUAAGAAUAUCAUCAACAUAUUGGAGUAGGCAUAUUUGUUUGGGAUGACAACUUUUUCUAAUACUUGUUCUAAAAUUUGACUGAAAAGGUUAGGGGAGUCUGUGAACCCUUGGGGUAAAAUUAUCCAUCAAUAUUAUUGUUUCCACCCUGAAUGGGGAUCCUUCCACUCAAAAGCAAAUGUAUCUUGCCUAUCUUCGGCCAGGAGACAUGCCCAAAAAGCAUCCUUCAAAUCUAUUACAGUAAACCGUUGAUUAUUAUAUGGAAUCUUGCUGAGAAUGGUGUAAGGAUCGAGGACAAUGGGGUGGGUAGUUUGGACUAUUUGGUUAAUAGCCCUAAGAUCCUGUACCAGCUGGUAUGACCCAUCUGAUUUCUUGAAUGGCAAUACUGGGGUGUUAUAAGGGGACAUAGAAGGCUCAAGAAGCCCAGCUUUAAUAAGACCUUCAAUUAUAGGUUUCAAUCCUAUCUUGUCCUCUAUGGGAAUGGGGUAUUGUUUCCUCCUUACUACUUCCCUGGGGACUUUUAGCUUUAUGUGGUUGGAGGGACUCAGAGUUUCCCUCAGUUUCCUUCUUUGGAUCAGACAUUAGGAUUAAUAUAUUUUUCAUCUGCAGUGGUGAGUAGCUUUAAUAAGGUGAGGAAUCCUCUUGGGCUGAGUUGCAGGCCUAUGCCUAAUUUCAACAUUAAAUCCUUCCUUAGUAAAUUAGUCCCUGCUUUAGGUAUUAACAAAAGCUGAAUAUGAGCUGAUUGAGCCUGGUAUCUGACUUCCGUGUUUUCUAAAAUUUUUGCUUUAAAUCCUUCUCCCUUUACCCCAGAAACCAAAAGUUCCUCUGAAAAGCAGGCAAUAUUAGAUGGGAGGAAAACAAGCAGAGGAUCGAGUCACUCCUGAAUUGACUAAAAAGUUAUAAACUCAUGGUGAGUUCCCACUUCUAGACUUAUCAACGGCUCCUGGUGUGACUCAAGAUAAAAGAGACAGAACCUCUGAUCCCAUUAUUCUUCCUCAAAAGCCAUGAGUGGAAGGGCUUCCUUUUCCUUUUCUAAUUUGGGACAUUCUCUCUUGAAGUGGCCUGUUCUUCCACAUUUGUAGUGUCUACCUUGCCCUUCCCCACUCUCAGUUCUGGGAUUCUUUGAUUUUACUCCCCUAUACUAUUUAGAGGGCCUGGUAGAUGAGAGCCUUGAUCCUCCCUAUGGAAGCUUGGGUCCUUUAAAGGAGGGUUUGGAACCUUUAUAGUUUCUGGCCCAGUGGAAGCUCUGUUUAGGGGUACUUGGGUUUGGAGGCAUCUGUUGGAAGGUGAAUAACAUAAGUUUUGUCUUUUGUUUUUGCUUUUCUUUGUGUCUCUUCGCAGAUACUUUUUGAGUCUCUCUGAGAAGUUCACUUGAAGUCAGUUUUCCCAAUCUUCUAAUUUUUUGACUUUUUUGAAAUAUCUGGACAAUGUUGGCCAGGUGCAGUGGCUCAUGCUUGUAAUCCCAGCACUAUGGGAGUCUGCGGUGGGUGGAUCACGAUGUCAGGAGAUUGAGACCAUCCUAGUUAACACGGAGAAACCCCGUCUCUACUAAAAAUAGAAAAAACUUGCUGGGCGUGGUGGUGGGCACCUGUAGUCCCAGCCACUCAGGAGGCUAAAGCAGGAAAAUGGAGUGAACCCGGGAGGUGGAGCCUGCAGUGAAUCAAGAUUGCACCAUUGCACUGUAGCCUGGGUGACAGAGACUCCAUCUCAAAAAAAUAAAAAGAA